UCCCGGUUAACCCGGGCAGUCUCAUUAGAGUUCCCACCAUUACGUGCUGGCAACUAAUGAUAAGGGUUGCGCUCGUUGCUGGACUUAACCAAACACCUCACGGCACGAGCUGACGACAGCCAUGCAGCACCUGUGCACCUGCUCCGAAGAGAGACUGUAUUUCUACAGCUGUCAAGUGCAUGUCAAGCCUGGGUAAGGUUCUUCGCGUUGCAUCGAAUUAAACCACAUGCUCCACUGCUUGUGCGGGUCCCCGUCAAUUCUUUUGAGUUUCACCCUUGCGAGCGUACUCCCCAGGCGGUAUACUUAUCGCGUUAGCUUCGGCACAACUAGGGUUGAGUCCAGUUACACCAAGUAUACAUAGUUUACGGCAAGGACUAC
rnacentral:misc_RNA from 1 species